rnacentral:rRNA from 1 species
UUAAGUUAUUAAGGGCGCACGGUGGAUGCCUUGGCACUAGAAGCCGAUGAAGGACGUUACUAACGACGAUAUGCUUUGGGGAGCUGUAAGUAAGCUUUGAUCCAGAGAUUUCCGAAUGGGGAAACCCAGCAUGAGUUAUGUCAUGUUAUCGAUAUGUGAAUACAUAGCAUAUCAGAAGGCACACCCGGAGAACUGAAACAUCUUAGUACCCGGAGGAAGAGAAAGAAAAUUCGAUUCCCUUAGUAGCGGCGAGCGAAACGGGAAGAGCCCAAACCAACAAGCUUGCUUGUUGGGGUUGUAGGACACUCUAUACGGAGUUACAAAGGACGACAUUAGACGAAUCAUCUGGAAAGAUGAAUCAAAGAAGGUAAUAAUCCUGUAGUCGAAAAUGUUGUCUCUCUUGAGUGGAUCCUGAGUACGACGGAGCACGUGAAAUUCCGUCGGAAUCUGGGAGGACCAUCUCCUAAGGCUAAAUACUCUCUAGUGACCGAUAGUGAACCAGUACCGUGAGGGAAAGGUGAAAAGCACCCCGGAAGGGGAGUGAAAUAGAACCUGAAACCGUGUGCUUACAAGUAGUCAGAGCCCGUUAAUGGGUGAUGGCGUGCCUUUUGUAGAAUGAACCGGCGAGUUACGAUUUGAUGCAAGGUUAAGCAGUAAAUGUGGAGCCGUAGCGAAAGCGAGUCUGAAUAGGGCGUUUAGUAUUUGGUCGUAGACCCGAAACCAGGUGAUCUACCCUUGGUCAGGUUGAAGUUCAGGUAACACUGAAUGGAGGACCGAACCGACUUACGUUGAAAAGUGAGCGGAUGAACUGAGGGUAGCGGAGAAAUUCCAAUCGAACCUGGAGAUAGCUGGUUCUCUCUGAAAUAGCUUUAGGGCUAGCCUCAAGUGAUGAUUAUUGGAGGUAGAGCACUGUUUGGACGAGGGGCCCCUCUCGGGUUACCGAAUUCAGACAAACUCCGAAUGCCAAUUAAUUUAACUUGGGAGUCAGAACAUGGGUGAUAAGGUCCGUGUUCGAAAGGGAAACAGCCCAGACCACCAGCUAAGGUCCCAAAAUAUAUGUUAAGUGGAAAAGGAUGUGGCGUUGCCCAGACAACUAGGAUGUUGGCUUAGAAGCAGCCAUCAUUUAAAGAGUGCGUAAUAGCUCACUAGUCGAGUGACACUGCGCCGAAAAUGUACCGGGGCUAAACAUAUUACCGAAGCUGUGGAUUGUCCUUUGGACAAUGGUAGGAGAGCGUUCUAAGGGCGUUGAAGCAUGAUCGUAAGGACAUGUGGAGCGCUUAGAAGUGAGAAUGCCGGUGUGAGUAGCGAAAGACGGGUGAGAAUCCCGUCCACCGAUUGACUAAGGUUUCCAGAGGAAGGCUCGUCCGCUCUGGGUUAGUCGGGUCCUAAGCUGAGGCCGACAGGCGUAGGCGAUGGAUAACAGGUUGAUAUUCCUGUACCACCUAUAAUCGUUUUAAUCGAUGGGGGGACGCAGUAGGAUAGGCGAAGCGUGCGAUUGGAUUGCACGUCUAAGCAAUAAGGCUGAGUAUUAGGCAAAUCCGGUACUCGUUAAGGCUGAGCUGUGAUGGGGAGAAGACAUUGUGUCUUCGAGUCGUUGAUUUCACACUGCCGAGAAAAGCCUCUAGAUAGAAAAUAGGUGCCCGUACCGCAAACCGACACAGGUAGUCAAGAUGAGAAUUCUAAGGUGAGCGAGCGAACUCUCGUUAAGGAACUCGGCAAAAUGACCCCGUAACUUCGGGAGAAGGGGUGCUCUUUAGGGUUAACGCCCAGAAGAGCCGCAGUGAAUAGGCCCAAGCGACUGUUUAUCAAAAACACAGGUCUCUGCUAAACCGUAAGGUGAUGUAUAGGGGCUGACGCCUGCCCGGUGCUGGAAGGUUAAGAGGAGUGGUUAGCUUCUGCGAAGCUACGAAUCGAAGCCCCAGUAAACGGCGGCCGUAACUAUAACGGUCCUAAGGUAGCGAAAUUCCUUGUCGGGUAAGUUCCGACCCGCACGAAAGGCGUAACGAUUUGGGCACUGUCUCAACGAGAGACUCGGUGAAAUCAUAGUACCUGUGAAGAUGCAGGUUACCCGCGACAGGACGGAAAGACCCCGUGGAGCUUUACUGUAGCCUGAUAUUGAAAUUCGGCACAGCUUGUACAGGAUAGGUAGGAGCCUUUGAAACGUGAGCGCUAGCUUACGUGGAGGCGCUGGUGGGAUACUACCCUAGCUGUGUUGGCUUUCUAACCCGCACCACUUAUCGUGGUGGGAGACAGUGUCAGGCGGGCAGUUUGACUGGGGCGGUCGCCUCCUAAAAGGUAACGGAGGCGCUCAAAGGUUCCCUCAGAAUGGUUGGAAAUCAUUCAUAGAGUGUAAAGGCAUAAGGGAGCUUGACUGCGAGACCUACAAGUCGAGCAGGGUCGAAAGACGGACUUAGUGAUCCGGUGGUUCCGCAUGGAAGGGCCAUCGCUCAACGGAUAAAAGCUACCCCGGGGAUAACAGGCUUAUCUCCCCCAAGAGUUCACAUCGACGGGGAGGUUUGGCACCUCGAUGUCGGCUCAUCGCAUCCUGGGGCUGUAGUCGGUCCCAAGGGUUGGGCUGUUCGCCCAUUAAAGCGGUACGCGAGCUGGGUUCAGAACGUCGUGAGACAGUUCGGUCCCUAUCCGUCGUGGGCGUAGGAAAUUUGAGAGGAGCUGUCCUUAGUACGAGAGGACCGGGAUGGACAUACCUCUGGUGUACCAGUUGUCGUGCCAACGGCAUAGCUGGGUAGCUAUGUGUGGACGGGAUAAGUGCUGAAAGCAUCUAAGCAUGAAGCCCCCCUCAAGAUGAGAUUUCCCAACUUCGGUUAUAAGAUCCCUCAAAGAUGAUGAGGUUAAUAGGUUCGAGGUGGAAGCAUGGUGACAUGUGGAGCUGACGAAUACUAAUCGAUCGAAGACUUAAUCAA